rnacentral:rRNA from 1 species
ACUUGUUGGUGAGGUAAUGGCUCACCAAGGCGACGACGGGUAGCCGGCCUGAGAGGGCGACCGGCCACACUGGGACUGAGACACGGCCCAGACUCCUACGGGAGGCAGCAGUGGGGAAUAUUGCACAAUGGGCGAAAGCCUGAUGCAGCGACGCCGCGUGAGGGAUGACGGCCUUCGGGUUGUAAACCUCUUUCAGCAGGGAAGAAGCGAAAGUGACGGUACCUGCAGAAGAAGCGCCGGCUAACUACGUGCCAGCAGCCGCGGUAAUACGUAGGGCGCAAGCGUUGUCCGGAAUUAUUGGGCGUAAAGAGCUCGUAGGCGGCUUGUCACGUCGGGUGUGAAAGCCCGGGGCUUAACCCCGGGUCUGCAUUCGAUACGGGCUAGCUAGAGUGUGGUAGGGGAGAUCGGAAUUCCUGGUGUAGCGGUGAAAUGCGCAGAUAUCAGGAGGAACACCGGUGGCGAAGGCGGAUCUCUGGGCCAUUACUGACGCUGAGGAGCGAAAGCGUGGGGAGCGAACAGGAUUAGAUACCCUGGUAGUCCACGCCGUAAACGGUGGGAACUAGGUGUUGGCGACAUUCCACGUCGUCGGUGCCGCAGCUAACGCAUUAAGU